rnacentral:rRNA from 1 species
AUUGAACGCUGGCGGCAGGCCUAACACAUGCAAGUCGAACGGUAACAGGAAGCAGCUUGCUGCUUCGCUGACGAGUGGCGGACGGGUGAGUAAUGUCUGGGAAACUGCCUGAUGGAGGGGGGUAACUACUGGAAACGGUAGCUAAUACCGCAUAACGUCGCAAGACCAAAGAGGGGGACCUUAGGGCCUCUUGCCAUCGGAUGUGCCCAGAUGGGAUUAGCUAGUAGGUGGGGUAACGGCUCACCUAGGCGACGAUCCCUAGCUGGUCUGAGAGGAUGACCAGCCACACUGGAACUGAGACACGGUCCAGACUCCUACGGGAGGCAGCAGUGGGGAAUAUUGCACAAUGGGCGCAAGCCUGAUGCAGCCAUGCCGCGUGUAUGAAGAAGGCCUUCGGGUUGUAAAGUACUUUCAGCGGGGAGGAAGGGAGUAAAGUUAAUACCUUUGCUCAUUGACGUUACCCGCAGAAGAAGCACCGGCUAACUCCGUG